rnacentral:rRNA from 1 species
CAGUCGCCGCGGUAAUACGUAGGUGGCAAGCGUUGUCCGGAAUUAUUGGGCGUGAAGGGCUCGCAGGCGGUUUCUUAAGUCUGAUGUGAAAGCCCCCGGCUCAACCGGGGAGGGUCAUUGGAAACUGGGAAACUUGAGUGCAGAAGAGGAGAGUGGAAUUCCACGUGUAGCGGUGAAAUGCGUAGAGAUGUGGAGGAACACCAGUGGCGAAGGCGACUCUCUGGUCUGUAACUGACGCUGAGGAGCGAAAGCGUGGGGAGCGAACAGGAUUAGAUACCCGCGUAGUCCCUGUCUCUUAUAC